CAAGGAAAUGACUUGUGAACUGGGGGACAGACCUACCCCUUGUAACCCUCAAUUUUGAAGAUAAAAGUCUCCAACAAGAAGUCACUGUUACUGUAUCUAGACUACCAGUGGUCAAGACAUCUGCAGGAGAAGAGGACCCUCAGCUCAUCCUACCGACCCAGCCUUAAUUCACAACUUUUCCAGAAAGAUGAUUAUUGUAACCAUAGCAACUCUGGUUGCCAUGGCAAUUGGAAUCCUAGCAAACAGCCUCACUGUUGUCUUCACUAUGUAGAAGAAAGAAAACCCAGCCAUCCCAGCAGUGAAGUGAGGCUCUAAGAUCCCAAGGAUAACCAGGUUACUACUGACACCAUGAAGUGAAGGCACAGGACAAAGUUAGAGGAAAGAAUUCUCAUGGAUUUUUAUGGUGGAUCUUCAGAUUUUAAUUAAUAUCACAUUGGAAAAAAAUGGAAUGAAUUAUAACAGCAUAUGACUUGGUCACAUAUUGUAUGUAGAUAUUCCUACAGAGAAGAAUUGAAUUACCACGCAACAUGAGCACCAUCUACAUUCUAAAUGACAGUUAUCAUCGGAUGUUGUCGGUGAAAUUAUAACCAUGAAAAGAAAUAGCAGAAUCCUAUCCAUCGAAGUUUCAAAUAAGACCAGAAUAUAACAAUGACUUUUUUAAUUUAUGUAACUGCACUCCUUAUAUAAAAAAAUAAUAUAUCUAUAUGAAUGCAUCUUUUAGGAUAUUUGGGUUGUGAUAAUCUUAAAUUCAAUUUUAAGUAAAUAUCAAAAUGACACUGAUUAACAUUUUGGUAAAAUAUUCCAUCUCACGUCUCACAUUCAUAUUCCAUCUCACAUCUACUCAGUAAGAUACAUAUUAUUAUAGAAUCUUGUCAUCAAAAUAUAAUUAUAAAAAUAAUAAUGGCUUUUUCACAAUAUUGUUCUCACUCUCACAUUUGGUAUCAAACCACAUCAGUGGAUACACAUGUCAUACUUGUAAUUUAAUGCCUUAAAUGAAUUUUCGGUUUUCUCAACUUUUCAUUGAAAUAGCAACUAUAAAUAUGAUCAAUUCCAUUACAUUCAGUCUAAUUUCCAGAAGUUUAUAAGGUUGUUAUAUAACAAUAUGUGUCCUGAAUUAUAUAGAUGUGCGGGUUAAAUGUUUUUAGGAUGUAUACUUAUAUAAUCAGUUUACAGGUCAAGUUUAAAGAAGUCUUUUCUAAGUCACACGAGGUAACUCAAUUAAACAAGAAGCCAUAUC